rnacentral:rRNA from 1 species
UACGUAGGGUGCGAGCGUUAAUCGGAAUUACUGGGCGUAAAGCGUGCGCAGGCGGUGAUGUAAGACCGAUGUGAAAUCCCCGGGCUUAACCUGGGAACUGCAUUGGUGACUGCAUUGCUGGAGUGUGGCAGAGGGGGGUGGAAUUCCGCGUGUAGCAGUGAAAUGCGUAGAGAUGCGGAGGAACACCGAUGGCGAAGGCAGCCCCCUGGGCUAACACUGACGCUCAGGCACGAAAGCGUGGGGAGCAAACAGG